CUGGGCUGGGCGCCCACACACGCUACCCCAAGGCUGCCGGACCGUGGUCUCAGCUUUCUAGCUCGUGCCGGCUUGUCUGGCCUCAUCACCCCCACCCCACACCUAAGAAAUUCUUGCUUGGUAUUUCGGGAGAACUAUUUAAGGUGUUGACAAGUGAGCUAGAUACUGCCCUGAGAUACUCUAUUAGAGGAGCCGCUGCCUCCUCUUGAGCUAGAGCCUCCAAGUGUUAGCAAAGGGCACUGGGGCCGGGAGGGGCCAAGCUGAAGCGGGAGAUACUAGUUUGACAUCUCGGGCUUACCUUCCUGCAGGCACAGAUUCAUGCAACACCUAGUCUAAACCUGUUCCCGAAGUGGCCACUGAAACCUUCACCUCUCUUUGCCCUUAUUGUCAUAGAAAGUGUUUUGUCCUCAUUAGUGCCCUGAAAUAUCAGAAGAAAAAAAGCCACGCAGAUGUGUGUGAUCCUGCCUGCCUCUUUUGGGUGGAGGCAGCUCUAGGCCACAGGUUCCUCAGAAAGGAAAGGGGUCCCACCAACAGCACUCCAGCUCACAUAGAUGAGAGGGAUCUAAGGUAAUGAAGAUGGAUUCCGGAACCCAGGCUGUCCAUCCCACUUUGGCACACCCAGAGAUGGGGGUGCUGAGAUCUGGCAGGAUUCAUGACUGCAGGAAAAGGCUGCUGGAAAAGCUGGAGAGAAGAAGGGAUUAUUCAGCAAAAGGAACCAAGGUGACUUAUGAUCUAUGUGAUGAACACACCGAUCAGGAGGAAAACUCAAAUAAACCUAAUGAUGUGGC
rnacentral:lncRNA from 1 species